GUGCGUCUUUGUGUCUUUGAGAUACACAAAGGCACAUACACAUCAACAUCCAAAAAUUUGCCUCUAAAAUUUGACGACUGAAACACAUUAAAAUCCAACAAAUUUGCCUAUGAAAUAUGAGAGAAAGACAAUAUUUUAGAAGUUGAUGAUGUGUGUGUCUUUGUGUUUUUGAGAUACACAAAGGUACAC
rnacentral:miRNA from 1 species